rnacentral:rRNA from 1 species
GGCGGACGGGUGAGUAACGCGUAAAGAACUUGCCCUUUAGACUGGGAUAACAGAGGGAAACUUCUGAUAAUACUGGAUAAGUUAGUAUAUCGCAUGAUAUGCAAAUGAAAGCUGCGGCACUAAAGGAGAGCUUUGCGUCCUAUUAGCUAGUUGGUAAGGUAAGAGCUUACCAAGGCGAUGAUAGGUAGCCGGCCUGAGAGGGUGGACGGCCACAAGGGGACUGAGAUACGGCCCUUACUCCUACGGGAGGCAGCAGGG